rnacentral:rRNA from 1 species
GUGAGGAAUAUUGCGCAAUGGGCGAAAGCCUGACGCAGCGACGCCGCGUGGAGGAUGAAGGUCUUCGGAUUGUAAACUUCUGUUAAGUGGGAAGAAAGGGCUGCUUUUAAUAGAAGCAGUUAAUGACGGUACCAUUAAAGAAAGCACCGGCUAAACUCGUGCCAGCAGCCGCGGUAAUACGAGUGGUGCAAGCGUUAUUCGGAAUAAUUGGGCGUACAGGGUGUGUAGGCGGUAUGUUAAGUCUGUUGUUAAAGACUCCGGCCUAACCGGAGACAGGCAGCGGAAACUGGCGUACUAGAGGGUGGAAGAGAGAAGUGGAAUUCUCGGUGUAGCGGUAAAAUGCGUAGAUAUCGAGAGGAACACCGAUGGCGAAGGCAGCUUCUUGGUCCAUACCUGACGCUGAAACACGAAAGCGUGGGGAGCAAACAGGAUUAGAUACCCGAGUAGUCC